rnacentral:rRNA from 1 species
AACUUAAGCAUAUCAAUAAGCGGAGGAAAAGAAACCAACAGGGAUUGCCCCAGUAACGGCGAGUGAAGCGGCAACAGCUCAAAUUUGAAAUCUGGCCCCCCCGCGGGCCCGAGUUGUAAUUUGCAGAGGAUGCUUUUGGCGCGGCGCCUUCCGAGUGCCCUGGAACGGGACGCCAUAGAGGGUGAGAGCCCCGUCUGGUCGGACGCCCAGCCUCUGUAAAGCUCCUUCGACGAGUCGAGUAGUUUGGGAAUGCUGCUCUAAACGGGAGGUAUAUGUCUUCUAAAGCUAAAUACUGGCCAGAGACCGAUAGCGCACAAGUAGAGUGAUCGAAAGAUGAAAAGCACUUUGAAAAGAGGGUUAAACAGUACGUGAAAUUGUUGAAAGGGAAGCGCUUGUGACCAGACUCGGGCGCGGCGAAUCACCCGGCGUUCUCGCCGGUGCACUUCGACGCGCCCGGGCCAGCAUCAGCUCGCCGCGGGGGACAAAGGCGCCGGGAACGUGGCUCCCCAGGGAGUGUUAUAGCCCGGCGCGCAACGCCCCGCGGCGGACUGAGGUUCGCGCGUCCGCAAGGAUGCUGGCGUAAUGGUCACCAGUGACCCGUCUUGAAACACGGACCAAGGAGUCGUCCUCGUAUGCGAGUGUUCGGGUGUCAAACCCCUACGCGCAAUGAAAGUGAACGCGGGUGAGAGCCUCGCGGCGCAUCAUCGACCGAUCCUGAUGUUCUCGGAUGGAUUUGAGUAGGAGCAUACGGGGCCGGACCCGAAAGAAGGUGAACUAUGCCUGUGUAGGGUGAAGCCAGAGGAAACUCUGGUGGAGGCUCGCAGCGGUUCUGACGUGCAAAUCGAUCGUCAAACAUGGGCAUGGGGGCGAAAGACUAAUCGAACCUUCUAGUAGCUGGUUUCCGCCGAAGUUUCCCUCAGGA